AUACCUACCUGGCAAGGGAGAUACCAUGAUCACAAAAGUGGUUUUCCCAGGGUGAGGCUUUUCCAUUUGCUCCGAAUGUACUGACCCCCACGAUUUCCCCAAAUGUGGGAAACUUAGUUGACUACAUAAUUUGUGGUAAAAAAAGAUUUUUUA
rnacentral:snRNA from 1 species